CCUACGGGUGGCAGCAGUGAGGAAUAUUGGUCAAUGGCCGGAAGUCUGAACCAGCCAAGUCGCGUGAGGGAUGACUGCCCUAUGGGUUGUAAACUUCUUUUAUACGGGAGGAAUAAAUGCUACGUGUAGCAGGUUGUCUGUACCGUAUGAAUAAGUAUCGGCUAACUCCGUGCCAGCAGCCGCGGUAAUACGGAGGAUGCGAGCGUUAUCCGGAUUUAUUGGGGUUAAAGGGGGCGUCGGGGGUUUGUUAAGUUAGGGGGGAAAAGUUCGGGCUUAAACCUGAAUUUGCCUUUAAUACUGUAAGACUCGAGUUCAGUUGCGGUAGGCGGAAUAAGUUGAGUAGCGGUGAAAUGCUUAGAGAUCACUUAGAACUCCGAUAGCGAAGGCAGCUUACCAAACUGCAACUGACGCUGAGGCACGAAAGCGUGGGUAGCAAACAGGAUUAGAUACCCUUGUAGUC
rnacentral:rRNA from 1 species